CCUAUGGGAGGCAGCAGUGAGGAAUAUUGGUCAAUGGGCGCAAGCCUGAACCAGCCAAGUCGCGUGAGGGAUGACGGUCCUAUGGAUUGUAAACCUCUUUUGUCGGGGAGCAAGGCCCGCCACGUGUGGCGGGAAGGAGAGUACCCGAAGAAAAAGCAUCGGCUAACUCCGUGCCAGCAGCCGCGGUAAUACGGAGGAUGCGAGCGUUAUCCGGAGUUACUGGGUGUAAAGGGGGCGCAGACGGCAAUGCAAGCCAGGAGUGAAAGCCCGGGGCCCAACCCCGGGACUGCUCUUGGAACUGCAUGGCUGGAGUACAGGAGGGGCAGGCGGAAUUCCUAGUGUAGCGGUGAAAUGCGUAGAUAUUAGGAGGAACACCGGUGGCGAAGGCGGCCUGCUGGACUGUGACUGACGUUGAGGCCCGAAGGCGUGGGGAGCAAACAGGAUUAGAUACCCGAGUAGUC
rnacentral:rRNA from 1 species